GCCUGACCCUGUCAUACUGCAGAGAGGGCCAGAAAGGCUCCAUCCAAGUGGACGGUGAGGAGCUGGUCAGUGGCCAGUCCCCAGGCCCUAAUGUGGCAGUCAACACGAAGGGCAGUGUCUACAUAGGUGGUGCCCCAGACGUGACCACGCUAACUGGGGGCAGGUUCUCCUCUGGAAUCACUGGCUGUAUCAAGAAUCUGGUACUGCACUCAGCCAGACCUGGCGCCCCACCUCCCCAACCCCUGGACCUGCAGCACCGUGCUCAGGCAGGGGCCAACACACGCCCCUGCCCCUCAUAGGCACCUGCCUGCCCCAUACCCCCAUGGACUCCGGGCAGUGCCCAGCCCGACAAUGUCGAGUAUAUUAUUAUUAAUAUUAUUAUGACUUUUUGUAAGAGACUGAGGCGAUGCCACACGCUUUGCUGCUGCCACCCUGGGCUGGACUGGAGGGUGGGCGUGCCACCUCACACAUGCAUGGGCAGAGCCCCAAGGCUGGUGGGCAGGGCAGAUGAACUGGAGAAGGUUGCCUCAGAAGGGCCACCAGGACUUGGAGUCAGAUAUGGUGGCUGGAUGGAAUCAGAACUUCUCCCUCUCCUGCCCCACCACAGAACCAGAUCCAAAGUGGUGUUGGGCUGCCCAUGGGCAGUCCUCAUUCCUGUGAGCCAAUCUCAGCUUAUCACCUGGUGCCUCACCAUUGACCCCAAUGAGGGGGUGUUGCAGUGGCCUGGGCCACCGCCCCGUGC